rnacentral:lncRNA from 1 species
AUGUCCGUGCUGCUGAUCCCUGCAUACACUCCCGUUAGGAGAAGAUCCCCCCCAGUGACAAAAACCGUGAAAACCUGGCCAGUAGGUGCAUCACAUCAGCUGCAGGACUGUUUUGAAAACACGGACUGGAGCGUGUUCGAACAUCAGGACCUUGAAGAGCACACAACAUCAGUGCUCUCAUAUAUUAACUUCUGUGUCAACAGUGUCACUGUGGACACAUGUCUCCGGGUGUAUUCCAACCAGAAACCCUGGAUGACUAAAGAGGUCCAGGUCCUGCUGAAGCAACGUGACGCCGCUUUUAGAUCCGGUGAUGGUAUGCAUUACAGUGCAGCCAAAUCUGAGUUGAAAAGAGGCAUCAGAGAAGCCAAGGCAGCGUACAAGAGAAGGAUCGAAGACCACUUCAGCAACAACAACUCACGACAGGUAUGGCAGGGAGUUCAGCACUUAACCAACUACAAACUUUGCAAUACCACGUUGACUGAGGGUAACGCCGAGCUUGCGGAGGAGCUGAACCACUUCUUCGCACGCUUUGAGGUGAAGGGACCAGAGGCAGCAGCAGCAAAAACAUUGGACAGCAGCAGCAGCCCAAGCCUCAUAGUGCAGGAAUAUGAGGUGAGGCGCACACUGAGGGCAGUGAACCCCAGGAAGGCCGCCGGACCAGAUAGGGUAACCGCAAGGGUCCUUAAAGAGUGUGCAGACCAGCUGGCUGGGGUCUUCACUAAGAUCUUCAACACUUCACUGUCCCAGUCCUGCAUCCCACCGUGCCUAAAGUCAGCCACAAUUGUCCCACUGCCAAAGCGUACUAACAUUAGCAGCCUCAACUACCGACCAGCUGCUCUAACACCUGUUAUAAUGAAGUGCUUCGAGAAACUGGUCCGACGUCACAUCAUGUCCUGCCUGCCACCCACACUCGACCCGCUCCAGUUCGCAUACAGAGCUAACAGAUCAACUGAAGAUGCCAUUGCUACAACGCUCCACACCACCAUCUCUCACCUGGAAGUGCAGGGUCGUUACGCCAGGCUGCUCUUUGUUGACUUUAGCUCUGCUUUCAAUACGAUACUCCCGGACAGACUAAUAGUAAAACUGCUGGAAAUCGGACUUCCUUCUACCACCUGCCGCUGGAUCAGAGACUUCCUCUCAGACCGUGUACAGAGAGUUAGAGUGGGGCCUCAUCUUUCCUCAGCCCUCAGUCUUAACACCGGCUCUCCACAAGGCUGUGUACUCUACUGUACACUCUGUACACACAUGACUGUGUUAGUACCCACCCAGACAACGCAGUCAUCAAGUUUGCAGAUGAUACCACCGUGGUGGGGCUCAUCUCUGGGGGAGAUGAGACGGCGUACAGAGCUGAAGUUCAGAGGCUGUCAGAUUGGUGUGUAG